GACGAACGCUGGCGGCGUGCUUAACACAUGCAAGUCGAACGGAAAGGCCCUGCUUUUGUGGGGUGCUCGAGUGGCGAACGGGUGAGUAACACGUGAGUAACCUGCCCUUGACUUGGGAUAACUUCAGGAAACUGGGGCUAAUACCGGAUAGGAGCUCCUGCUGCAUGGUGGGGGUUGGAAAGUUUCGGCGGUUGGGGAUGGACUCGCGGCUUAUCAGCUUGUUGGUGGGGUAGUGGCUUACCAAGGCUUUGACGGGUAGCCGGCCUGAGAGGGUGACCGGCCACUUUGGGACUGAGAUACGGCCCAGACUCCUACGGGAGGCAGCAGUGGGGAAUAUUGCACAAUGGGCGGAAGCCUGAUGCAGCAACGCCGCGUGCGGGAUGACGGCCUUCGGGUUGUAAACCGCUUUCGCCUGUGACGAAGCGUGAGUGACGGUAAUGGGUAAAGAAGCACCGGCUAACUACGUG
rnacentral:rRNA from 1 species